CCUACGGGAGGCAGCAGUGAGGAAUAUUGGACAAUGGGUGAGAGCCUGAUCCAGCCAUCCCGCGUGAAGGAUGACGGUCCUACGGAUUGUAAACUUCUUUUGUAUAGGGAUAAACCUCUCUACGUGUAGAGAGCUGAAGGUACUAUACGAAUAAGCACCGGCUAACUCCGCGCCAGCAGCCGCGGUAAUACGGAGGGUGC
rnacentral:rRNA from 1 species